GUCUUUAUGGUGUAGUGGUCAGUACGCUCGACGCGUAAUCGUGAGGUCCGGGGUUCGAUUCCCGGCGACGGCA
rfam:Stegodyphus mimosarum contig8272, whole genome shotgun sequence.